AGAGUGAACGCUGGCGGCAUGCCUAACACAUGCAAGUCGAACGGUAACAGGCCCGCAAGGGUGCUGACGAGUGGCGGACGGGUGAGGAAUACAUCGGAAUUUGCCCUGUCGUGGGGGAUAACGUAGGGAAACUUACGCUAAUACCGCAUACGACCUAACGGUGAAAGGGGGGGAUCGCAAGACCUCCCGCGGUUGGAUAAGCCGAUGUCAGAUUAGCUAGUUGGCGGGGUAAGAGCCCACCAAGGCGACGAUCUGUAGCUGGUCUGAGAGGAUGAUCAGCCACACUGGGACUGAGACACGGCCCAGACUCCUACGGGAGGCAGCAGUGGGGAAUAUUGGACAAUGGGGGCAACCCUGAUCCAGCAAUGCCGCGUGUGUGAAGAAGGCCUUCGGGUUGUAAAGCACUUUUAUCAGGACGAAACGCCGACGGUUAAUAACCAGCGGAACUGACGGUACCUGAGGAAUAAGCACCGGCUAACUUCGUGCCAGCAGCCGC
rnacentral:rRNA from 1 species